rnacentral:rRNA from 1 species
AGGCUCCUACGGGGGGCAGCAGUGGGGAAUAUUGGACAAUGGGGGGAACCCUGAUCCAGCGACGCCGCGUGAGUGAAGAAGUAUUUCGGUAUGUAAAGCUCUAUCAGCAGGGAAGAAAAUGACGGUACCUGACUAAGAAGCCCCGGCUAACUACGUGCCAGCAGCCGCGGUAAUACGUAGGGGGCAAGCGUUAUCCGGAUUUACUGGGUGUAAAGGGAGCGUAGACGGUGUGGCAAGUCUGAAGUGAAAGCCCGGGGCUCAACCCCGGGAGUGCUUUGGAAACUGUCAUGCUGGAGUGCUGGAGG